GUGAAUCAUCGAAUCUUUGAACGCACCUUGCGCCUUUUGGUAUUCCGAAAGGCAUGCCUGUUUGAGUGUCAUGUAGACUCAACUCUCGAGAGGUUUCUUGCGAGUUGGAUUUGGGUGUUGCCAUUUGGCUCGCCUUAAAAGUGUUAGUGGUUUAAGCACUUGAUCGGACGUGAUAAGUUUCGUCCGGCCGUGUGUCGUUGACCGCUCCCAAAUCCGCCUUGCGGCGCUCUUUGACUCUGACCUCAAAUCAGGUAGGACUACCCGCUGAACUUAAGCAUAUCAAUAAGCGGAGGA
rnacentral:misc_RNA from 1 species